AUUGAACGCUGGCGGCAGGCCUAACACAUGCAAGUCGAGCGGAUGAAGGGAGCUUGCUCCUGGAUUCAGCGGCGGACGGGUGAGUAAUGCCUAGGAAUCUGCCUGGUAGUGGGGGAUAACGUCCGGAAACGGGCGCUAAUACCGCAUACGUCCUGAGGGAGAAAGUGGGGGAUCUUCGGACCUCACGCUAUCAGAUGAGCCUAGGUCGGAUUAGCUAGUUGGUGGGGUAAAGGCCUACCAAGGCGACGAUCCGUAACUGGUCUGAGAGGAGGAUCAGUCACACGAGAACUGAAACACGGUCCAGACUCCUACGGGAGGCAGCAGUGGGGAAUAUUGGACAAUGGGCGAAAGCCUGAUCCAGCCAUGCCGCGUGUGUGAAGAAGGUCUUCGGAUUGUAAAGCACUUUAAGUUGGGAGGAAGGGCAGUAAGUUAAUACCUUGCUGUUUUGACGUUACCAACAGAAUAAGCACCGGCUAACUUCGUG
rnacentral:rRNA from 1 species